GCUGCCUCCAAUGCAAUGGUGGAGGAUGAGCUCCACUAAGGAACACAUCCGGCUCACAGAUCUGGCUGGCAUUGCUCUGUCUUGUAACAGCAGCUGCUUUCCCGGCUCUAAGCUCCAAGUGCUAUCACCUUCAGUUGACCAGCUGCGUCUUUGUCCCUCCCCACAUCACUUUCUGCAGCCAGGGCAGCACUCCUGGACAGGAAGCCAUGAACUUGCAAUUCCACCAUUUCUUCCAGUUGCUUUUGGAGAAUUCAGUUUCAAAGUGCGAGUUGAGGAUAACAUUCUGGCUUUCAGAAAUCAUAAAUAAUGAACGGCACAUUUGAGUCAUUAUCGGUGGUUAUCCCUCUUAGAGUCCUCUUUGGUGUGCUCCGACCUAAGGUUUGAAAAGUUUUUUUUUGUUUGUUUGUUUUGUUUUUUUACAGAAACCUCUA
rnacentral:lncRNA from 1 species